AUUGAACGCUGGCGGCAGGCCUAACACAUGCAAGUCGAACGAGUGGCGGACGGGUGAGUAAUGUCUGGGAAACUGCCUGAUGGAGGGGGAUAACUACUGGAAACGGUAGCUAAUACCGCAUACCAUCAGAUGUGCCCAGAUGGGAUUAGCUUGUUGGUGGGGGAACGGCUCACCAAGGCGACGAUCCCUAGCUGGUCUGAGAGGAUGACCAGUCCAACUGGAACGUAGACCCGGUCCCGAAUCCUACGGGAGGCAGCAGGGGGGAAUAUUGGACAAUGGGGGCAAGCCGGAUUGAGCCAUGCCGCGUGGAUGAAGAAGGCCUUCGGGUUGUAAAGGACUGUCAGUGGGGAGGCGUUACCCGCCGAAGAAGCACCGGCCAACUCCGUGCCAGCAGCCGCGGUAAUAC
rnacentral:rRNA from 1 species